AUGCAAAGAACUUUGAAAAGAGAGUUAAAGAGUACCUGAAAUUGCUGAAACGGAAGCGAAGGAAACCAGUGUCUGGUUGUGUCAUACUUCCCUUGCCGCUUGCGGUCUGGGCGCUGUGGCGCUUCUAUAUGUCUGCCUUGGUUGUGUCUCUCUGGAAGAGCGCUCACAGAGUUGAUGUGGGUUGCUAGCAUUGGACAUGACUGAGUGCAGACGAAAUGGUUUUCUUUACCCCGUCUUGAAACACGGACCAAGGAGUCUAACAUAUGUGCGAGUACAGGGGUGGCAAACCCCGGUGCGCAAUGAAAGUGACAGUGGUUGGAUUUUUUUGCACAAUCCGCCGGCCUCAAUCCUUCGGGAGAACGGUCUGAGUGUGAGCAUACAUGUUGGGACCCGAAAGGUGAUGAACUAUGCCUGAAUAGGGUGAAGCCAGGGGAAACUCUGGUGGAGGCUCGUAGCGAUUCUGACGUGCAAAUCGAUCGUCAAAUUUGGGUAUAGGGGCGAAAGACUAAUCGAAUUACCUAGUAGCUGGUUCCCUCCGAAAUUUCCCUCAGGAUAGCUGCAAUCGAAUGUCAAUUUUAUCA
rnacentral:rRNA from 1 species